rnacentral:snRNA from 1 species
AUACUUACCUGGUGCAGGGGCCUUGUUAAUCACCGAGGAUGAGCCCCAGGGCGAUCCGUGGGAUUUGCACUGCACUCGCCUUGACCCCUGCGACUACCCCAAAUUGGGGAAGAUAGGGCAUGCAAACUGC